UAGUGACUGGAUAUUACACUUGAAGAAGUGCUGUCUUUCAGAAGGGACAUUAAAUUGAAGGUCCACUUUGAUGAAAGAACUAAUCAGAAUUGACUUAAGGCAACAGACAUUCUUCCAAAUAACUGAGAAAACUCCACCCAACAGCAUAUCUGGAUAUUGGUGGUCAAAUCUUGAUGAAAUGUGGUCAGAUGGACCCUUGGACUGAGGAGUGGCAGCUGGAGCUGAACUUAGAUCAAUCGCGCUGCUGCCAGAGUCCCGCUCCAGGCUUCCCAGCCCAUGCCAAGCGACUGCCCGGUUCCCACUCUGGCCAGAAGUAGAAGU